rnacentral:rRNA from 1 species
CCUACGGGAGGCAGCAGUGAGGAAUAUUGGUCAAUGGGCGGGAGCCUGAACCAGCGAAGUCGCGUGAGGGAAGACGGUACUAUGGAUUGUAAACCUCUUUAGGCGGGGAGCAAUGCCGGGCACGCGUGCCCGGAGGGAGAGUACCAGCAGUAUAAGCAUCGGCUAACCCCGUGCCAGCAGCCGCGGUAAUACGGAGGACGCGAGCGUUAUCCGGAUUUAUUGGGGUAAAAGGGUGCGUAGGCGGAUUUUUAAGUCAGCGGUAAAAUGUCCGGGCUCAACCCGGGCCGGCCGUUGAAACUGGGGAGCUUGAGUGGGCGAGAGGUAUGCGGAAUGCUUGGUGUAGCGGUGAAAUGCAUAGAUAUCACGCAGAACUCCGAUUGCGAAGGCAGCAUACUGGCGCCCGACUGACGCUGAGGCACGAAAGCGUGGGGAUCGAACAGGAUUAGAUACCCUUGUAGUC